UACAGAGGGGGCAAGCGUUGUUCGGAAUUAUUGGGCGUAAAGCGCGCGCAGGUGGUUUCUUAAGUCUGAUGUGAAAGCCCACGGCUCAACCGUGGAGGGUCAUUGGAAACUGGGAGACUUGAGUGCAGAAGAGGAAAGUGGAAUUCCAUGUGUAGCGGUGAAAUGCGUAGAGAUAUGGAGGAACACCAGUGGCGAAGGCGACUUUCUGGUCUGUAACUGACACUGAGGCGCGAAAGCGUGGGGAGCAAACAGG
rnacentral:rRNA from 1 species